AACGAACGCUGGCGGCAUGCCUAACACAUGCAAGUCGAACGAGACCUUCGGGUCUAGUGGCGCACGGGUGCGUAACGCGUGGGAAUCUGCCCUUGGGUUCGGAAUAACUUCGGGAAACUGAAGCUAAUACCGGAUGAUGACGUAAGUCCAAAGAUUUAUCGCCCAAGGAUGAGCCCGCGUAGGAUUAGCUAGUUGGUGAGGUAAAGGCUCACCAAGGCGACGAUCCUUAGCUGGUCUGAGAGGAUGAUCAGCCACACUGGGACUGAGACACGGCCCAGACUCCUACGGGAGGCAGCAGUGGGGAAUAUUGGGACAAUGGGCGAAAGCCUGAUCCAGCAAUGCCGCGUGAGUGAUGAAGGCCUUAGGGUUGUAAAGCUCUUUUACCCGAGAUGAUAAUGACAGUAUCGGGAGAAUAAGCUCCGGCUAACUCCGUGCCAGCAGCCGCGGUAAAGUGACUACUG
rnacentral:rRNA from 1 species